CACGUGGUUGGCUACACCGCUAUAUAACAUCAUGCGCUUCGUAUCACCGGACUAUACUCCCUGCCAAUUCCACUCCUCACCACUAUACCAGUAAACAGAAAGAUCAAAUCCACCCGCCAUGGCAAUGGACACCGAAUCAGUGAUGGAGUUCUUAGGUGCUGUUCCUUUGCUUCAGAGGCUCCCAAGCUCGUCUCUCAAGAAAAUUGCCCAAAUCGUUACUGUUAAGAGCUACGAGAAAGGCCAGUAUGUUGUUCGUGAGGGAGAGAUUGGGGAAGGAAUCUAUUUCAUCUGGGAAGGAGAGGCUGAAGUAUCUGGAUCAAUUCAUGCUGAGGAAAAUACUCGUCCUGAAUUCCAAUUGCAACGCUAUGAUUACUUUGGUGAUGGUAUUAUCGCUUCCAUUCAGCAGGCAGAUGUUAUUGCUUUGACUAAGCUGACGUGCUUGCUGCUGUCCCAUGAACAUUGUACUUUACUUCGGCCAAAAUCCAUGUGGAGUGCUGAUAAGACUCCAGACUCAUGUUCGCUUGUGGAGAGUAUAUUGCAUUUGGAGCCAAUAGAAGUUAAUAUGUUCCUGGGGGUUACACUGCCAGAUGCCCCAAAAUUUGGAAAGGUCUUUGGAGGACAGUUUGUUGGGCAGGCACUGGCUGCUGCAUCAAAAACUGUUGAUUGCCUUAAAAUUGUUCAUAGCUUGCAUGCCUAUUUCCUUCUUGUUGGGGAUUUCAACAUGCCAAUCUUAUAUGAGGUUGAUCGUGUACGUGAUGGGAAAAGCUUUGCAACGAGAAGAGUUAAUGCAAUACAAAAAGGGAACAUUGUAUUUACAUUAAUUGCUUCAUUUCAGAAAGAACAACUUGGGUUUGACCACCAAGAAGUAACAAUGCCAAAUGUUCCAGAACCAGAGAUGCUUCUAUCAAUGGAGGAGCUACGGGAGAGACGUCUAACUGAUGCUCGUCUACCAAGGAGCUAUCGGAACAAGGUGGCCUCAAAAGAUUUUGUCCCUUGGCCCAUAGAGAUAAGGUUUUGCGAGCCAAACACUAACACUAAUCAGACAAAAUCUGCCCCAAGCUUGAGGUACUGGUUUAGAGCAAGAGGAAAACUCUCAGAUGAUCAGGCUUUGCAUAGAUGUGUAGCGGCAUAUGCUUCAGAUCUUAUAUUUCUUCAAGUCAGUAUGAAUCCCCACCGCACUAAGGGUUUGAAGACAGCUUCUGUUAGUCUAGACCACUCGAUGUGGUUCCACCGGUCGUUUAGAGCUGAUGACUGGAUAUUGUUUGUCAUUACGAGCCCAGCUGCAUCCCACGCCCGCGGCUUUGUAUCCGGCCAAAUGUUCAAUAGAAAGGGGGAGCAUAUUGUAUCAUUGUCUCAAGAGGGUCUGCUGAGGAAAGCUUCAACACCAAACCCUGCCACUGCCUCGAAGCUGUGAGUGGAGCUUAUUGCUGCGAAGUCCUGGUGAAAGUACUAUUAUAAAAAUCAUGGGUUGGAACUUGAAAAUCAUCUAAGCAUAGCAAUUGCCAAUCGAGUAAUGUAAGCCAGGAGCAAUGCAAUCGCAAGCAAAGUCGAAGUAUCAAGCUGCUUUAAUUAUUUAUUUUGAGGCUUGUCAAUUCCCACUCUUUUUUUCUUCUUUAAAAAAAAAAAAGUAGCUAGGUCAGCAAAAGUGGGUUCUGUUUAAGUUGUCCUGAUUAAUGAGUUUGUGGGAUUGUAUAUGUAGUUUACAAUUGCAUUUUUUUUCCAUAAUAGUUCAAAGUUUUUAUAUCUUAAAUAUAUGAAGAUUAACU